rnacentral:rRNA from 1 species
AACUCGGAGGAAGGUGGGGAUGACGUCAAGUCAUCAUGCCCCUUAUGUCCAGGGCUUCACACAUGCUACAAUGGCCGGUACAAAGGGCUGCGAUGCCGUAAGGUUAAGCGAAUCCUUUUAAAGCCGGUCUCAGUUCGGAUCGGGGUCUGCAACUCGACCCCAUGAAGUCGGAGUCGCUAGUAAUCGCAGAUCAGCAACGCUGCGGUGAAUACGUUCCCGGGCCUUGUACACACCGCCC